rnacentral:rRNA from 1 species
AGAACGAACGCUGGCGGCGUGUUUAAGACAUGCAAGUCGCACGGAACCAAAUUGGUAGUAAUACUCGUUUGGUUCAGUGGCGCACGGGUGAGUAACACGUGAAUUACAUGCCCUUCAGCGGGGAAUAGCCCAGGGAAACUUGGAUUAAUACCCCAUGGUAUCGCAAGAUUAAAGGUGGCCAGCAAUGGCUGUCGCUGAAGGAUUGGUUCGCACCCUAUCAGCUUGUUGGUGAGGUAACGGCUCACCGAAGGCUACGGACGGGUACCUGGUCUGAGAGGACAUCGAGGCACGACUGGAACUGAGACACGGUCCAGACACCGUACGGGUGCCAGCAGUCGAAGAAUUA